rnacentral:lncRNA from 1 species
UUCAAUAAACACACUUGAAAGCAAAAAGAAAAAUUCCACUCGAAAUAAACAAAUGCAAGUCGAUCAUUAAAAAGCAGGAGUCGAUUUACUCCCUUCUCAUCCCCAUUCUCGGCCUCCCCUCUCUCUCUCUAUACUCUCUUUUCCUCCAUUGAUGUCCAUUGAAGAAAGCUUAGAGAAGCUUCAUCAAACACUACUAUGAGAUAAUCCACCAUCCAAUCCAAUCAAAUACUAUCAUAUCUCAUCAAAUUCAAGAAGCU